CGUCUAUAUACGUAUAGCAUAUCAAUAAGCGGAGGAAAAGAAACUAACUAGGAUUCCCUCAGUAACGGCGAGUGAAGCGGGAAGAGCUCAAAUUUGAAAUCUUCAAGGUUCUACCUUGACGAAUUGUAGUUUAAAGAAGUGUUUUCUGUUGGAGUUUUGGUAAAAGUUCUUUGGAAUAGGACAUCAUAGAGGGUGAGAAUCCCUGUAUUUGACCAUUAUUUCCAACUUUGUGAUACACUUUCAAAGAGUCGGAUUGUUUGGGAAUGCAGUCCAAAAUGGGUGGUAAAUUUCAUCUAAAGCUAAAUAUUGGCGAGAGACCGAUAGCGAACAAGUACCGUGAGGGAAAGAUGAAAAGAACUUUGAAAAGAGAGUUAAACAGUACGUGAAAUUGUCAAAAGGGAAGCGUUUGACACCAGUGUUGUUUUCUCGAAAAUCGAUUAAAAAUGGUGGGAUUUUGUGUUGUAUUGACUUUAUCAGCUUUCCGCACUUUUUUCCUGUCUUUUUUAAUGCACUUUUCGUUUAACAAGUCAGCAUCAAUUUCUUUUGUUGUAAAAGGGUCAUUGGAAGGUGGCUUUCUUUUCGGAGAAAGUGUUUAUAGCCUUUGACUUCUGCAAUCGGAGAGAUUGAGGUCUGCAGCGUAGAUCCUUCGGGGUUAGAUGCAUUUGUGCUAAGUUAUAGCCUUUCAUAGACAACUUGUUGACUAUGAUCAGUCAUGUAGCUUACUCGCUUAUGUCAUUUUACCUACGCUUAGGAUGUUGACGAUCAGCUGAGCGCG
rnacentral:rRNA from 1 species